AGAAAAUUUGGUCAAUGGUCGAGAGACUGAAACCAGCCAGUAGCGUGAAGGAUGAAGGUUCUAUGGAUUGUAAACUUCUUUUAUAAGGGAAUAAAACCGCCUACGUGUAGGUGCUUGUAUGUACCUUAUGAAUAAGCAUCGGCUAACUCCGUGCCAGCAGCCGCGGUAAUACGGAGGAUGCGAGCGUUAUCCGGAUUUAUUGGGUUUAAAGGGAGCGUAGACGGGAGAUUAAGUCAGUUGUGAAAGUUUGAGGCCCAACCUUAAAAUUGCAGUUGAUACUGGUUUCCUUGAGUGCGGUUGAGGUGUGUGGAAUUCGUGGUGUAGCGGUGAAAUGCUUAGAUAUCACGAAGAACUCCUAUUGCGAAGGCAGCACACUAAGCCGCUACUGACGUUGAGGCUCGAAAGUGUGGGUAUCAAACAGGAUUAGAUACCCUGGUAGUCCACACGGUAAACGAUGAAUACUCGCUGUUGGCGAUAUACGGUCAGCGGCCAAGCGAAAGCAUUAAGUAUUCCACCUGGGGAGUACGCCGGCAACGGUGAAACUCAAAGGAAUUGACGGGGGCCCGCACAAGCGGAGGAACAUGUGGUUUAAUUCGAUGAUACGCGAGGAACCUUACCCGGGCUUAAAUUGCACUGGACAGGCUCAGAGAUGGGCCCUUCUUCGGACCAGUGUGAAGGUGCUGCAUGGUUGUCGUCAGCUCGUGCCGUGAGGUGUCGGCUUAAGUGCCAUAACGAGCGCAACCCUUGCCAUUAGUUACUAACAGGUCAUGCUGAGGACUCUAAUGGGACUGCCAUCGUAAGAUGUGAGGAAGGUGGGGAUGACGUCAAAUCAGCACGGCCCUUACGUCCGGGGCUACACACGUGUUACAAUGGGAGGUACAGAAGGCCGCUACCCGGCGACGGGAUGCCAAUCCCCAAAACCUCUCUCAGUUCGGAUUGGAGUCUGCAACCCGACUCCAUGAAGCUGGAUU
rnacentral:rRNA from 1 species